rnacentral:rRNA from 1 species
UGGGGAAUAUUGGGCAAUGGAGGAAACUCUGACCCAGCAACGCCGCGUGAAGGAUGAAGGUUUUCGGAUUGUAAACUUCUGUCGCGAGGGACGAAGAAUGACGGUACCUCGUAAGAAAGCCCCGGCAAACUACGUGCCAGCAGCCGCGGUAAUACGUAGGGGGCAAGCGUUGUCCGGAAUGACUGGGCGUAAAGGGAGUGUAGGCGGUCUUUUAAGUUACAUGUGAAAUCCCACGGCUUAACCGUGGAACUGCAUGUAAAACUGGAGGACUGGAGUGCAGGAGAGGCAAGUGGAAUUCCUAGUGUAGCGGUGGAAUGCGUAGAUAUCGAGAGGAACACUCGUGGCGAAGGCGGGUUCCUGGACAUUAACUGACGCUGAGGUACGAAGGCUAGGGUAGCGAAAG